rnacentral:rRNA from 1 species
GUAGUUGACUCCGUGGCUCGAGGACGACGCUGGCGGCGUGCUUAACACAUGCAAGUCGAGCGGUAAGGCCCCUUCGGGGGUACACGAGCGGCGAACGGGUGAGUAACACGUGAGCAACCUGCCCCUGACUCCGGGAUAAGCGGUGGAAACGCCGUCUAAUACCGGAUACGACCUUCCGCCUCAUGGCGGCGGGUGGAAAGUUUUUCGGUCGGGGAUGGGCUCGCGGCCUAUCAGCUUGUUGGUGGGGUAACGGCCUACCAAGGCGAUUACGGGUAGCCGGCCUGAGAGGGCGACCGGCCACACUGGGACUGAGACACGGCCCAGACUCCUGCGGGAGGCAGCAGUGGGGAAUCUUGCGCAAUGGGCGGAAGCCUGACGCAGCGACGCCGCGUGGGGGAUGACGGCCUUCGGGUUGUAAACCUCUUUUACCACUCACGCAGGCCCCGGGUUUUCUCGGGGUUGACGGUAGGUGGGGAAUAAGGACCGGCUAACUACGUG